rnacentral:lncRNA from 1 species
CUCUUCCAUGUACGUUUCCACAAGUUUUGGGGUUCCCAGAAAAUUUCCUCUCUCUCCUUCCACAAAUUUGUACUUUCAGUUUUGUUGAUAGCGCAACGGAGAAACACUGAUUCCCAUAUGCUUGGUGCCUUGCAACCUGACGAGUGGCUGAGAGCUUCAUGUGUCCGAUUCCAGGUGAGUUUGCAAUGAACUCAACACAACCCUCCUCCUCCCUCCAUUGAUGCUGCGCUUGAUCAUUACUUAGUUUACAUGAUUACAUGUUUGUGUUGUGUGUGUUGGCAACGAAGAUUGAUCUCCUUUUUCUCUAAUUUCUUGAACUCUUAGAGAUUAUAGACUUCAAAGAUACACGCAACUUACAAUGUUUAUUCACUAGUAAAUAUAUUUUUAAAUUUCAUCUAACAGCUUGAAUUAUUGUGUUAAAUUGAUUAUUUGAUAUGAUAUCAGAGUUUUAAUGAUCAAACGAUCACAAAAAUCAUAUCUUGUGAUCUUACUUAACAUUUUAAAUUAUUGAAUUAAAUUAUUUCUUUUGACAUCCACGUCUUAAAGGUGUCUUUAUUAUUUCGCAAUUCUUUUCCCUUUCCAUGUUCAUCUCUUGCUUCAUGAAACAUGAACGAGUUUCUUGUCUAGAUACCUAGCUAGAGUAGAGAAUUAUUAAUAAUAUGCUCUGUGUGUUCCUGUUGUAUCAACUUCUCCAUUUUUCCAGUGCUGUGAAGAAUAAAUAUAGAGAAAAGAGAGGUAGAUAGAGGAUGGCGUAUAGAAAGCUAGCUAGCUACUACCUCCAUUGAAUUUCAUAGAUUAAUUUGUGGAGCUACGUUAAAGGCAACAAUAAAACAUGCAUCAUCGACCUAAACAGAGUCCACCCACGAGUCAAAUACACGCACUCACACACAUGCAUCAACCUCACAUGCGUAGUAAAAUCCAUCUACCUUUCAUAAUAUAUUGUGUUGCCGAAAACGACAGUACACUCCUAACCCUUUUUUGUAUCUUUCUUCUUGCUUUCUCUACACCAAAAAGCUACACCAUAUAAACCUUUGUCCUCGAGACUAUUUCCCAAUUGCAAAAAAAUCUGGAUUUUUCUUUUUUACUGAAAAAGUAAAGAUAUUUGAGUGUCUCCGACAUUGGUCAUGUUUGUUUUUGCGUUUUAAAAGUAUUUUUAAAAAAAAUUAAAAUUUUUUAUUUACUUUAAAUUAAUAAUUUUUGAUAUUUUUAGAUCAUUUUGAUGCGCUGAUUUUAAAAAUAUUUUUUAAAAAAUAAAAAAAAAUAUUUUUAUACAUUUAUAAAUGAAAAACACUUUGAAAAACAACCGCAACCACACUUUUAAACAGAUAUUAAAUAUCUUCAAUGGUAAUUUUUUUUAAAUUUCACCUUGGAUCUAUAUUGUAACAAGUUUCUUUGCCAAAAAAAAAAGUAAUUAAUUUGGUUUUUUUUAUUAGAUAACUUAACAAAAUUAUUCAAUAAGAUCUCUAAUUGUUUUAGUUAUGAUAAGAUAAAUGACUUACUAAAUUUUAUAGUAGAUUAAGUAUUUUUUUUAAUUAUUAAUAUAAAUAUUUGGAUGAAGUUACAUGCCGUUAACUUCUUUAUAAAGUUAUAAAUAAGGAAAUUAAAAGCAAAUUACAAAACAAAACAAGGUGAGAGUUGUGGUGGGAUCUCUGGCUACAGUAAUUGAUUUGCCCGUGCUCGUUCCACUACAGGAAUGGAUUCAAAGUGUCUAAUAGCGUUGUUGUGAUAAAGUUUUUCUUUUUCCUUAUCUUUUUUAUCACCCGAUUUUGAUUUGACAAAAAAAAAAUGCAAGAUGCUUUUUUAUUUUUUAAAUCUCCUUUUCUUCUUCUUAGAAUCUCUCUAAUAAUACAUGUUAACACACUAAACAUAUCACAGGAUACAUAAACCUUGUCGAAUUCAAUUUCUUUUUUACUAUCCAAGUGCGUAAAAAAAUGAAUAAAAUUUAAGAAAAAAUUCAAAAAAAGUUAUUACAAAGAACUUUAAACAAACAACGACUACUAACACAAAAAACUAUAAUUUCAGUACUUGAAAACAAGUAAAAAUAUUCUAAAUUAAUUUCUUCUAAUAAUUUUUUUUUUAAUCUAAAAACAACUAGGACAGACAUCACAAACAUAUCUAUAAUUGAUCUACUUUAUUUAAUUGAAAUUCAUAAAUAUUAAGAGAAAAAAAAAUAUAAAGUUCAAAAAUAGGGUACGUUGCUGAGCUUGGAUGGAUCAAUGCACCAGACCCAUUAAAAAAGCAGGCACUGGGGAUCCUAGCUAGGCAAGAAUGCUUGACCUUUUUUUUUUUUUCAUGGACUCAAGGGGCCUUCAAUUAUGAAAAAUAAUAAAAACAAACAAUGUAUCAUUUGUAUUUUCCAAAUCUAACCACCGCAAAGGUAGUUGGAAAAACAAGAAGUGAGUUUUUUAACAAAAAAAAAAAUUAAAAUUAUUCUAACCUGAGAACACCUAAAAAAACAACUUUAAGACUUUUAAAAACAAAUUUCUCAACCUCAAAAACCCGUAAUUUGGUCUAAAAAUAUAGAAUUAAACAACAAAAAAUUUUCUUAAUCAUGAUCUGUUGUUUCUAGUAGAAUAUAGAGUAAAAAAAUAUCUCGAUAGAACUCAUCUUGUUAAGAGAAAACUCAUAAAUACUAAAAACAAGUUGUUUUGUUGUCGGAAUAUAUACUAUCAAUAAUUUCUUUUAUCAUGUUUUGUGGCGAUAUUCUCUCAAGUCUUUUGUCAAACCAAGAGCUUAAACAUAAUUGAAUGAAGAUUUAGACCAAAACGUAUAAUUAUCAAACUAAAAGGAUCAAAAUAUAAUUUGAUAAAAAAUAAAGGCAUAACUCUUCAAAAAGGCUCUAAUUGCACAUUGGUGGAGAGGGAAAGGUAUGCAUGUUUUUAUUUUAAACUCAAUUCCAGUCGUUUAACUUUUAUUUUUUAAAAAAAUAAAAACAUUCGGUCAAAAACAUUUAUCUAGAUGAAUCAAUUAUUACACUUAUGUAAAGCAUCAAAACAUCACUGGAAAGUAAUUUUAUACUCGUUGAAAUGAUCAUGGAGGUCCUAAAGUUGAAUGUUCAUCGAAUAAAAUUCUAAUUAAUGGUUUGGAUUGAUAAAUAAAGAAGUUUGCUCUGUUUCUUAGCUCUUUAAAUUCAAGAUUUGAGAUCAAUAUAGAUUACUCUAUCGAAUGUAUAAUAUCAAUAUAAAUCUUUGCAGUCUACGGUGACAAAACAAUUUCUUCUAGUUAUUAGAUGUCAAGUUUUGCAGUGUUCGUGGGAUAAUCUAGGAGAUAAAAUUAUAUUGUAUCUGUGAUCAUGUCCUCAAUCAUAAGAACAACGAUCUUGGCCUAUAUGAUGGUGUUCUCUCUUUUAAAUCUUUCUAGGGCUAGGCUAGACAUGGUUUCUGUUUUUCUGGUUAUUUCUCCAUCCUAUAACUCCUGGUGAUUUCUUAAAAAACCAUAAAUCCUGAGGGAUUUCAUGCUUGAAUUGUUCCUGAACCUUCGUCUAAAGAGCUAACCCUAGAUGGUACGUGAAGGCAAGAUGCUAUUCAUAAAACAAUUAGUAUCAGGAAUUUCAGAUAGUGGUAAUGGUAUAUGGUUCUGGAAUACCCUCCACUAAGGCUAGUUUCCAUCUUAAAAGCUUUCUUUGUGUACACAUACAAGUUUCUAUAUGUACAUAUAGUGUGUAUGUGUGUAUACAGUUUCCAUCGUUUCCAUCUUAAAAGCAUCCUUUUUAUACAGAUACAAAUUUUUAUAUGUGUGUGUGUUAGUAGAAAUUUGUACAUAUAUGUGUCUAGUAAUACGAUUCAAAGUGUUUUUCAAAUCUAAAACGAUAUUAAAUUGAUGAUUUUAUGUGUUUUUAGAUGAUUUUGAUAUGUUAUUGUAAAAAAUCUUAAAAAAUAUUAAUUUGAUGUAUUUUUAAUUAAAAAAUACAUUGCACCGCGUUACCAAGCACAUGCUUAGAUAGUGUUUGUAGGUGUUGUAACAGUUACUUCUCAAAGUGUUUUUCAUUUUUCAGUAUAUCCAAACAAUUAAAAAAACAUCAAUAAAUAAUCAAUUUCAAGCAAUACGAAUUUAAAAAAUCACAAAACAUGAUUUCAACUAUAAAAACAAACACCCCACUUAUUAAUGAAUAGUGAAGGAAAGUCUAUGCAUGUACUACGGCUACAUAAUGCAGUACAUAUAAAACUAUAGAAUGGUAUUACAUCCUUUUUAUGAAAUUAGACAUGGAUAUUUCAGCUAAAUUUUAAGAAGGCGCAUGCACGCACCACGGCUACAAAAGUUAAAAUACGGUACUAUAAACAUUUAAAAUGGUAGUGUAGGACUACCAGUUAAUAAUUAGUAGUAUAUUUUCACACAGAAAUAUUUUCCUAUCAUGCUUAUUAAUCAUGUGAAAAUAGAUGUGAAUGUCUACUCCAAAUUCCUCUAACAUUGUUGAUGAAUCAUUUCCCAAGUCGAAAAGCUUCCUUUUGCUCUUUAUUUCCCCUUUAUUUAUGCCUUUUAAAGGCUAAAUAUCCAAAACUACCUUAAAUUUUAGGUCAAACCAAACUUAGUUUUUUAAAUUUAUUUUUUUAUUCGAGAACAUAAACUAUUUUUUUUUGUUAAAAAUAAGCCUUUUGUGUCCAAGUUUUCAUCCCUUCAUUAAUCCUUUUAUUUUUUAUUCUUAAAUCAUGUAUUUUCAUGACACAUUUUGUGUUUUUAGAUUAUCACAUGCACUCAAAAUUAAUAAAAAAAGGCUUAUUUUUUAUAUAAAAAAUAGUUUAAAGUAUUCAAAUAAUAAUAAAAAAAAGUUCGAGGGUUUUUAUUUUUUCAUUUAACCUCUUUUAAAUUGCCUCGAAACGUUGCGAAAGCUUCUUUUUCCAAUGCAAAGUGUUCUUUUACAUUUUAACCACAGAUUUAAACUAUGGUUUCUUAUAUCAGCUCCCUUUGUCUAUGUCUUUGUCGUCUAUUCUGAGCGCCAACAAAAACAUUAAUGUAAUUAUAGAUGUUCUUGUUUAUAUAUGUUGUAUUAGUAAAUACAUUUUCUCGUAUUAAUUACCUUUUCACUAACAUAUCGAUAUAAGAAUUAGCUGUCAUAAUUAGGAGUCUGAUCCACAGACUUUCCGAAUGAACUAAAGAGAAUAGGGUUUGUGUGUGUAAGAGAGGGAGAUUGAACCGCAUACAUUUCAUAAUUUGCAAGACGUAGAACACUAAUUUGACCUUGGCUAGUAUGGAACAAAGUUCAUAUACAGCAAUGCAUAGAGUACGCGAUACAUUUUACCUUAAACAAUCAUCACACGUAGAAUUUCGAGAAGCAAGAAUAUUGUUAUAAGCACACUGAAUUACUGGAACAACACAAUACAAUUACAUGAUACAUACCGUUAAUCACACCCGUUUGAUUUUCUUUAAGCACUUGUGGUGCAGGAUUGAGUUCAAACUGGAAGACGAUUUGAAGCCCCACCCACGCCCUUGUCACCUAAGGCUGCCAUUGGAGGCGAGACUUCAGCUUCCCAAACGUUU